CAGUCCAGUCCAGUUUGCCUCAGUCUAGCCCAGUGUGUCUCUAACCCUGCCUUUGUCCCCAGCCCCCCGUGGCUGACCAGGUGGAGCUGAUGCGCCAGUGAUGCUCGGCUGCCUCUCUGCAUGUCCAGGACUGGAAGUGGUGGUGACACCCAUGUCCUGGCCCCCUCCAGCGGCAUGAGGAGAUGAUCAUCCCUGGAGGACCCCCCUGAUCCCCUGGGUGCCCUGGCAAUUUCCCUGCAAGAAUCAAUAAACCCCUGCAGCAAAACAAA